rnacentral:tRNA from 1 species
UGCUCCUUUAGCUCAGUAGGAUAGAGCAAAGGUUUCCUAAACCUUAGGUCGUGAGUUCAAAUCUCUCAAGGAGCGU